AGCCCCAUUUGUAUGCUAUCCUGCUUCGGUGUACAUUGAGAUUUCAGUGGUGGGGGAGCGACAAGGGUUUUUUUUAUCCAUCUUCAACUAGCUCUCUUAGCUCUCCAUCUAUCGAUUCAUCCCAUCAAGCUCGUUGAUUUGCGCUUUCUUCAUGGCUUCGAAUUCUCAGAAGGAUCUCCCUGCUGAUGAGAAAACAAGUGCAGCUGAUAAGAAUAGUUCAAAACCAGAGGCAUCCUCAGGAGAGUCACAGUCAGGAUCUAGAAGAUCUCCCACUUCACCAGGAGCUGGAUUUGCCCCCAAUCCAUUUGAUUUUUCAGCUAUGACUGGCCUGCUUAAUGUAUGUGGUUUUAUGCCCUUCUUAUUUAGAUCCAGUAGUAGCACUAUUUUCUGUCGGUGUCAGUGUGUUACUUUCUUUUUCUCUCUAGAAAUAGCAUUUUCUUACUUCAACCAACCAACCAUACCAUAUGAUUAUUCAUUUUUAUCUAUUUGGCUUCAUCAUUCCUGCCUUUGGUAUGUCUUCUAUUUUGAAAUUAGACUCUCAUUUCACUUCGAAUCUAUGCAAGGUCUGUUGGAAUUUCAAUUCUGUUCUAGCUUUCAGUAUUACAUGGGUUUUUAUUUGGCCAAAAUAGGCAAAAUACCUAUAUAGUAUUUGAAAAUGUUCAAAAUAAACUCUUGUACAAAAAUUCUAUGUUUAAUGAAGUCCUAUUACUUUUGGAAUUUAUUCAAAUUGACCCUCACUGUUAUGGAAAACUAGAUGAUGGGUAAAUAAAAGUGAACACCAUCUGAGUUGUUGACGUGGCCACACAAAUUUUUUGCUUUAGUUUUUCUUUUUCAUGUUUAAUCUUUGAUCUUUUUGUUUUCCUUUUUUCUUCUUUUUCCUUUCUUCUUUUCCUAACCUUUUCUCUCUCCUCUGCUAUUACCUAAAACCUCCAUUACUAAGAAACUCUCAAACUCGAACUAAUCCAGCCAUUACCAGGAACCUCCCUUCAUUGAACAACCUCAUCCCCUUCAUCAGAUCCAAAACCCCACCCAAUUUCUCCUUUCAUCAUAUCUACUCCCUCCAGAGCUGCUUUCUCCUCCAUCAUCCAAAACCAUCUCAUACCACACCACCAUUGCAAAAACUAUCUCAACCAGGCUGCUACUCCACCGCUGUCGUCACCCAACCUCAUCAAGAAACCUUACGCAAGCAAGGAGGUCAACAACACAUGAUAUUUGAUCUACCUCAGGGAUAAAACCAUAAUCAUUUACCAUGGAGUUGAAUCAUUCUUUUAAUAAAGCAAUUUGUAUCUCCUCACACCUGUUUUCUGUGCAGCCAAUGAUCGUCACAUUAAACACCACUUCAUCCGUCAUUGGCAUUAGUGCGCCGUCUUGGCGCACACAGACAACAUUGUUGUUCGAGAAUGUAUGCAUGAGUUAUGAUCUCUUCGAAAGGCCUUUGUUAGAGAAGUCAACUCUUGGUUUAUUGACGACAUGGAGGUGGGACUUGAGGGCCGGUUAAAUCGGUUAUGCGUGGAGUUCUUAUAAGUAGAGUUUAAGUAGGAUUUCUUGAUCAUGGCUUCUCAAGAUUAGGUUCUCUUUGAUACACUCUCUUUUGCCCAUCUAAAUUUUGUCUUUCUUUUGUUUUAUCAUAUCACCAUCAUUAGCCACAACAACAAAAGUUGGAGGUGCAAUUUGUGGUGGAGAAAUGUUAAAGGAAGUGAUUGUGAGGUUUACUUGACAAGUGUUAAGAGUAUUAGGGCUGAUCUACAUAUGAUAAUUAUGUAGAGGCUAAGAAGGUUUAUGAUUAUUUGUGGCUUGAACAUUUUAAUUAGAGUAGUUGGCAAUGAGCUUUAGGCCUAGGAAUUAGGGAGGUAAGGGUGUGAUGGAGAUCUGGAUAGUGAAUAGAUGCUUGCAAGUAUCAAUUGAAACAGUAGAUAUAGGAGUUGAAGUAUUGCGUGGUGUUGGGGUGGAAGUAUUAGAGUUGUUGAAUGUGUGGAAGGAAGAAGAGAGAGGAAAAUCCUUCUUGGUUACUUUUUUUUUGAAAGAAAAAGUUAAAAUAUAUUAAAAUGGCACCAAAAGGGGUACUGCCCGUAUACAUAGGAAUUUACAGAGAUGUAAGGUAUCAAUGACAUCCCCAAAAUCUUCAUAUCUAAUGAUGUCAUGCCCCAAUAUAAAAGACCCAAAAUAUUUAAACCACCUUCUUGGUUCCUGCAUUUGGAAUUUAUAAACUCAAUGGAAGUGGAUGAAAGAUGCUUAACAGGUUCAUGAGCUUGCAACAAAUGUUCAGUUAAACAUUUUGAUAUUUAAACAAUGAUAUGUUUGAUGGUAAGUUUCAAAAAAGGCUUACACAAAAUUAUCUUACCAGAGGCUAACACAAAAUUGCAACAUGUUGCAUCUGCCAUGGUGCAGGUCCACGGUUUGAGGCUUAACUGUGGUAUACGUUGAGCAGUGAAGAGAUAUGUGCUCCGGUGAUGGUAGGGUCUAUCACAGCCGUUUGAUUUGUUUGACGAGUUUGAGCGCAUCUGAGGUCUCUUUUUAUAAUGUGGGUUAAGACAUUUUCUCUCUCUCUAACUUUCUCUCUCCAUAAAAGUUCUCUCUACCUCCUCCGCCUGUUGGGCCUCAGGUCGGCCGUUCUUGGUCAUCUAGAACGUCAAUUCUAAGUAAUGAGUACACUCGGAAGUAGGUAUCUAGCUAUAGAAAGUAAAUCCUACGAUUUGGUAUGUGAAGGAAGGAAGUUGGAAAGCCUACAAAAGCCUACAAAAGCCUACAAAUAACUAAAAAUGGACGUGGAUUUAGACAUUUGAUUUUUCUUGACAAAGAAGAGUUCGUGUGGUUCGUUGAUGCUAUUGAGGAGUACUGGUGGAGAAAAAGACCAGGGACAUGGGCAAAGCAUUUGGUGAAGGACAAAUAUGAGUUAUGGUUCUCCUUCGGUAAGAAUAGAAGAGGAGAAUAUUCAGGGCUAACAGUAAAUUGGAGUAGUAAAGUGAAGAGGAUUUUUUUCCUUGGGGGUCUACAAGGGAAGGGAUGGUGGAAGCUGUUGGUAGCUGUCUUUGAACUUGUGAAUAGACCAGUCAAAAACCCUAGUUGUGGUGCAAGGAGUGGGCGCAAGGUCAAGAAGCCUUCCAUCGUUAAGAUGGGUCAGUUGGAAAAACCGUGGCAACUGUCUUUUCCAUGCCCACACUGUAAUGACCUAUUUCAUGUUUCAUUGGAGGGAGGUGCUCCUAAAUCCUACACGGCGACGUUGCGCUUGACUGAAGGCGUUGUGAAAUAGGUAGGGCAGAGGAAACUUGGUGGGUUGUCGAGUCGGGCUGGCCCGAGAGCCCAAUUUUAGAAUGACAUGUCAUAAUCGGCUUGUUCAAACGGGCCAAAAUAAAAAGAAGAUUGGACCAGGUAUGAUCCCAAAGUACAUUUGGAAGGAAAAGGAAAAGUGGUUGGCAAGCCCAGUAAUAAAAGAUGACAUUAUAACUUACCCCGACCCGGUUAGGAGCUUCAACCCUAUUAGGGGUGAAUGCUUGGGAAAAAAGAUUGGUAACUCUCCUAGGUAAGCUGAUCCAUGUGCCAAGGAAGGAAUGAUAGAGCUGGAGAAAGCGACCGAAGAGGAAUUUAGGAGGGUGAUUGAUUCAAAUCAUUCAAGUGUGGGAGACGAAGAUGAGAUGGUCUUUGUGUUUUCUUCAAUGGAAUAAAUUGAUAGUGAAGGUAGGUUCGGCCAGAUAGUCAACACGAAGAAGAGAAGCUAUCGAAUAUGGAAUUGGUGGUUGUUGACGAAGAAGCUCAUGCACUCGCAUCAAAGUAUGAUAGCGAAAUUGAGGAGAUCCUCAAGAUAAGUCUAGAAGGGGUGAAUAUUUCAACGAAGCAAGUGGACUACUGCUCAUGGUGUGUGACUAACAACGUACAAAAAUUCAGCAAACAUAUGGGUGUUUCGUUUGAAGGUAUGGAACAUUUGACUUUCUUAUUUUUCUCUGAAAUUGAAAAAAGAAAAAUUUUAAAGAAAAAAUCGGGUGUGAAUAUCAGAGAAAGGAAGAAGCAGAAUGGGGGUGUUUCGAGGGAGUUAAAUAGACUUGAGUCCACAAUUAACUAUGAGAACAAGAGCAAAGGAGGGAAGAUCGAGGGUGGGGUGAAGAUGAUUGACCAAUGAUAGGAAAAAUAAUUUCUUGGAAUGUCCGUGGUGUAAAUGAAAGGGGCAAAAGAUUAAUUAUUCGGGGAUGUCGUAAUAAAUGGAGCCCUACUGUGAUCUGUCUACAAGAAACGAAAA